rnacentral:rRNA from 1 species
AGCACUCCGCGCGCGCGUCUUAGGCUUAAACAUGCACGGAGAACGCCCCGAGGGGGAGUGGCAGACGGGUGAGUAACGCGUGGGAACAUACCCUUUCCUGCGGAAUAGCUCCGGGAAACUGGAAUUAAUACCGCAUACGCCCUACGGGGGAAAGAUUUAUCGGGGAAGGAUUGGCCCGCGUUGGAUUAGCUAGUUGGUGGGGUAAAGGCCUACCAAGGCGACGAUCCAUAGCUGGUCUGAGAGGAUGAUCAGCCACAUUGGGACUGAGACACGGCCCAAACUCCUACGGGAGGCAGCAGUGGGGAAUAUUGGACAUUGGGCGCAAGCCUGAUCCAGCCAUGCCGCGUGAGUGAUGAAGGCCUUAGGGUUGUAAAGCUCUUUCACCGGAGAAGAUAAUGACGGUAUCCGGAGAAGAAGCCCCGGCUAACUUCGUGCCAGCAGCCGCGGUAAU